rnacentral:rRNA from 1 species
CCUACGGGAGGCAGCAGUGGGGAAUAUUGCACAAUGGGGGAAACCCUGAUGCAGCGACGCCGCGUGCGUGAAGAAGGAUUUCUGUAUGUAAAGCUCUAUCAGCAGGGAAGAAAAUGACGGUACCUGAUUAAGAAGCCCCGGCUAACUACGUGCCAGCAGCCGCGGUAAUGCGUAGGGGGCAAGCGUUAUCCGGAUUUACUGGGUGUAAAGGGAGCGUAGACGGCAGCACAAGUCUGCAGUGAAAUGCCGGGGCUUAACCCCGGAACUGCUGUGGGAACUGGGUUGCUAGAGUGCAGGAGAGGUAUGUGGAAUUCGUAGUGUAGCGGUGAAAUGCGUAGAUAUUAGGAGGAACACCAGUGGCGAAGGCGGCUUACUGGAGCGUAACUGACGCUGAGGCUCGAAAGCGUGGGGAUCGAACAGGAUUAGAUACCCGGGUAGUC